GGCUCAAUGGUCUAGUCGUAUGAUUCUCGCUUCGGGUAAACCUGAAUCCCUAACUCGGAAAAGAGUUAUUGCGAGAGGUCCCGGGUUCAAAUCCCGGUUGAGCCC
rnacentral:tRNA from 1 species